rnacentral:rRNA from 1 species
AGAAGCUCGCGGCUGAUUAGCUUGUUGGUAAGGUAAUGGCUUACCAAGGCGACGAUCAGUAUCUGGUUUGAGAGGACGAUCAGACACACUGGAACUGAGACACGGUCCAGACUCCUACGGGAGGCAGCAGUGGGGAAUAUUGGACAAUGGGCGCAAGCCUGAUCCAGCCAUGCCGCGUGUGUGAAGAAGGCUCUAGGGUUGUAAAGCACUUUCAGUAGGGAGGAAGGCCAGAGUGUUAAUAGCGCUUUGGAUUGACGUUACCUACAGAAGCAGCACCGGCUAACUCCGUGCCAGCAGCCGCGGUAAUACGGAGG